rnacentral:lncRNA from 1 species
AAAAUUUAUUAACAUAAUACUUGUAAACGUUUUAAAAUAUAAAUUAGAAAUAAUUAAAUAAAAAUAAAUUUUAACUAUAUUUGGGUAUUAGACAGUAUAAUUUGACAAAAGAGAUGGAUAUGAUGAAGAUGACGGAUAAGAGAUGGAGAUGGUUCUUCUGUAUGUAUGUGUGUGUGUAUAUAUCUAUAUAUAUAGUUUGGAUGUGUGUGUAUAUAUAUCUAUAUAUAUAGUUUGGAAAUAUAGAAAUAAAGAUAGGAGAUGGUGAAAAUGGACCGGUGAUAAACAUACACCAAUAUAUUAGAAUUUUUAUUCUUUUUUACUCAAAAUAUUUGUGAGAACAAAAAUUUCAUUAUCCUAAAAAAAUUGAAAAAUGAAAAGAGAAUUUUUCCAUGAAAUAUGGAAAAUAAUUUUUCAAAAAAAUUAUUUUUGUUGCGAACCAAACACAAGGAACACAUUUUUUCAGCCUGAAAA